rnacentral:rRNA from 1 species
GAUCAUGGCUCAGGAUGAACGCUAGCUACAGGCUUAACACAUGCAAGUCGAGGGGCGAGCGGGGAGUUGGAGCUUGCUUCAAUUGCCGGCGACCGGCGCACGGUGAGUAACGCGUAUCCAACCUUCCGUACACUCAGGGAUAGCCUUUCGAAAGAAAGAUUAAUACCUGAUGGUAUGAUGAGAUUGCAUGAUAGCAUCAUUAAAGAUUUAUCGGUGUACGAUGGGGA